AACGAACGCUGGCGGCAGGCCUAACACAUGCAAGUCGAGCGCCCCGCAAGGGGAGCGGCGGACGGGUGCGUAACGCGUGGGAAUCUACCCUUGGGUUCGGAAUAACAGUUAGAAAUGACUGCUAAUACCGGAUGAUGACGUAAGUCCAAAGAUUUAUCGCCCAAGGAUGAGCCCGCGUAAGAUUAGCUUGUUGGUGGGGUAAUGGCCUACCAAGGCGACGAUCUUUAGCUGGUCUGAGAGGAUGAUCAGCCACACUGGGACUGAGACACGGCCCAGACUCCUACGGGAGGCAGCAGUGGGGAAUAUUGGACAAUGGGCGAAAGCCUGAUCCAGCAAUGCCGCGUGAGUGAUGAAGGCCUUAGGGUUGUAAAGCUCUUUUACCAGGGAUGAUAAUGACAGUACCUGGAGAAUAAGCUCCGGCUAACUCCGUGCCAGCCGCCGCAGUAA
rnacentral:rRNA from 1 species